rnacentral:RNase_P_RNA from 1 species
AGCGUCGGCUGGAUGAUCGCGCGGCUUUCGGGCCGUGAGGAAAGUCCGGACACCAUAGGGCAGGACGGUCGCUAACGGCGACCUUCCAGUGAGGAAUCGCUGGAACGAGAUAGGACAACAGAAAAGAUACCGCCCGAUUUCGGUCGGGUAAGGGUGAAAAGGUGCGGAUCUUUGGGCAACCAGAGGUCUUAAAGUAAGGGCGCACCGGCGGAGUGGUGACACUCCGGCCUGGCAACCCUCGUCCGGUGCAAGACCAAGCAGAAAGCGUUGACCCGGCCCGGCGAGCUUUCGGGUUGGUCGCUGCGCUGGGAGGUAACUUCCAGCGUCACGCUGCGAGCAAUCGCAGGGGCAGAGAAAUGAUCAUCGACGUCGCAAGGCGUUACAAAAUCCGGCUUACAGGCUGGCGUUUCAA